CCUACGGGUGGCAGCAGUGGGGAAUAUUGGGCAAUGGGCGCAAGCCUGACCCAGCAACGCCGCGUGAAGGAAGAAGGCUUUCGGGUUGUAAACUUCUUUUCUCAGGGACGAAGCAAGUGACGGUACCUGAGGGAUAAGCCACGGCUAACUACGUGCCAGCAGCCGCGGUAAUACGUAGGUGGCAAGCGUUAUCCGGAUUUACUGGGUGUAAAGGGCGUGUAGGCGGGAAAGCAAGUCAGAUGUGAAAACCAUGGGCUCAACCUGUGGCCUGCAUUUGAAACUGUUUUUCUUGAGUACUGGAGAGGCAGACGGAAGUCCUAGUGUAGCGGGGAAAGGCGGAGAUAUUAGGAGGAACACCAGUGGCGAAGGCGGUCUGCUGGACAGCAACUGACGCUGAGGCGCGAAAGCGUGGGGAGCAAACAGGAUUAGAUACCCUGGUAGUC
rnacentral:rRNA from 1 species